AUGUCUGGUCGAGGCAAAGGAGGGAAAGGCCUGGGCAAGGGCGGCGCCAAGCGCCACCGCAAGGUGCUGCGGGACAACAUCCAGGGCAUCACCAAGCCCGCCAUCCGCCGCCUGGCCCGCCGKGGCGGCGUCAAGCGCAUCUCCGGGCUCAUCUACGAGGAGACCCGCGGCGUGCUCAAGGUGUUCCUGGAGAACGUGAUCCGCGACGCCGUCACCUACACGGAGCACGCCAAGCGCAAGACGGUCACGGCCAUGGACGUGGUCUACGCGCUCAAGCGCCAGGGCCGCACCCUCUACGGCUUCGGCGGCUGAGCGUCCUGGUGCCGCCAUCUCUCAUUGGUGAGCUCAAGUAUGGCUCGUACCAAGCAGACAGCGCGCAAGUCCACCGGCGGCAAGGCCCCGCGCAAGCAGCUGGCCACCAAGGCCGCCCGCAAGAGCGCCCCGGCCACCGGCGGCGUCAAGAAGCCUCACCGCUACCGGCCCGGCACCGUGGCGCUGCGCGAGAUCCGCCGCUACCAGAAGUCCACGGAGCUGCUGAUCCGCAAGCUGCCGUUCCAGCGCCUGGUGCGCGAGAUCGCGCAGGACUUCAAGACCGACCUGCGCUUCCAGAGCUCGGCGGUCAUGGCGCUGCAGGAGGCCUGCGAGGCCUACCUGGUGGGGCUGUUCGAGGACACCAACCUGUGCGCCAUCCACGCCAAGCGCGUCACCAUCAUGCCCAAGGACAUCCAGCUGGCGCGCCGCAUCCGCGGGGAGAGGGCGUGA